GAGAGGUGCUGCAUGGCUGUCGUCAGCUCGUGUUGUGAAAUGUUGGGUUAAGUCUCGCAACGAGCGCAACCCCUAUCGUCUGUUGCCAGCAUUAAGUUGGGCACUCUGACGAGACUGCCUGGGUUGACCAGGAGGAAGGUGGGGAUGACGUCAAGUCCUCAUGGCCCUUAUGUCUAGGGCUACACACGUAAUACAAUGGCGCGUACAAAGGGAAGCGAACCUGCAAAGGGGAGCAAAUCUCAAAAAGCGCGUCUCAGUUCGGAUUGGAGUCUGCAACUCGACUCCAUGAAGUUGGAAUCGCUAGUA
rnacentral:rRNA from 1 species